GACGAACGCUGGCGGCGUGCCUAAUACAUGCAAGUUGAGCGAUGAAGAUUGGUGCUUGCACCAAUUUGAAGAGCAGCGAACGGGUGAGUAACGCGUGGGGAAUCUGCCUUUGAGCGGGGGACAACAUUUGGAAACGAAUGCUAAUACCGCAUAACAACUUUAAACAUAAGUUUUAAGUUUGAAAGAUGCAAUUGCAUCACUCAAAGAUGAUCCCGCGUUGUAUUAGCUAGUUGGUGAGGUAAAGGCUCACCAAGGCGAUGAUACAUAGCCGACCUGAGAGGGUGAUCGGCCGCAUUGGGACUGAGACACGGCCCAAACUCCUACGGAAGGCAGCAGUAGGGAAUCUUCGGCAAUGGACGAAAGUCUGACCGAGCAACGCCGCGUGAGUGAAGAAGGUUUUCGGAUCGGAAAACUCUGUUGGUAGAGAAGAACGUUGGUGAGAGUGGAAAGCUCAUCAAGUGACGGUAACUACCCAGAAAGGGACGGCUAACUACGUG
rnacentral:rRNA from 1 species